rnacentral:lncRNA from 1 species
CAACUUUUUGUUCUUCUAGGCAGCAGUUUGCAUUGACUGUCCCUAGUCCUUGUUCCUCAUUUCCUAGCUCUAUUCCUAUGUGACCCAUAGUAUCUAUUUAAGUUACCUAUUGAAUAAUUGACAUUUUCUAGGUGUUGCAUCCACCGCUGUUUAUUUUUUUGGAAAUGAUAAAAGCAUGAUAAUACAAUUCAUUUUAAGUUAAAAGUGUUUUGACGUCAUCUGCAUUUUUUUUUCCUAAAAGUUCGCUGCAUGCAAUCAAUUCAGUGAUGCAGAGGAUGGAUACAGAAUAUGACAAUAUUGUUAGUGGUCGAGGACUGCUGCAGUUGUGCAUGAGGAUCUUCAGUGGAUGCUCUAGGAAGACUAUCAGUCCUCAAAUGGUUCCGUCUGGGUCCUGCAAUAGAUUGGGUGCGUUGUUGGCUCUGACAAAAUCUAAGGAGAUCCUGGUUUCUAACCACAUAAUGUAAUCUCAGUUUAAAGUACUAAAAAUAUUUGGGAAGAGUUUAUAUGAAAAGGGUGAGGGCUUGAACAUAAAUUGAAAGCUGCUGCUGGAAGGACUGAAUGACCGAAUGUGGUUAAACCAGUGAGUAAACUCGAGUAUUUUUGGCUUUGCUGCUUUUAGAGCACAAAGACUCAGCUCAGGGACUAGUCCAAGAGCCUUAACAAGAUAGGAAAAAUGACCAUAUCUAACAUGAUCGUAAGAACAUACAGGUGAUCUAGUACCUUUAAGGUUUGCUUGGAGUGCUUCUUUUUCUCAGCUAGUGGCAU